GUGAGAUGACACAUUUCUGUUGUUUAAGCCCCUGGUUUGGUCUGUGGCACUUUGUUACAGCGGCCCUGGGAAACUCACACAGAGGGGCUGUCAGGAAGCUUCACAGAGAUGAUUUCAGAGGCAAAACGUGUCUGCCAGGUGGCUUGGGGAACGCAGCAGUCACCUGGUGAAAACAUCUACUGAGCAUUAAGGAAUAGCACAGAAGAGACAGCAAAGUAUCUACUACAAGGGACAUCUCACUUCCCUGGGACAAAGGGCUCCAAGAGGUCUACAACCAAAAUAAAACUGCGUCAAGAAAUACGCCGUGAAACAGAAGGUGGAGACUUCGCUGGGAAGAGUAACAAGAUUGUAAACAGACUUGGGGGCUCCAACACUGAUGACUAAAUCCAGGUAAUGGCCUAGGAGCAGCGCAGCAGUCAGCACACACCCUGGCCAGCACCUUCAGCAGAAGAGACAUGGAUGCCCUGGCCAGAAAUUCACUACAAACACUUGGAAACCUGCAAUACUGGAAGGCUGCAGCACAAGCCAAUGAAAAGGAAACCCUGUUAUCUACUGGCAGAAGGGAGCCCAACAUCUCGCGCCAUCUCCCAAAUAAAAGAGCACGACCACAGUAAGUUAAACCAUAACAUAAUACAUAAGUAACUCAUUGCUUACAUUACUAGCCUAAUGAUGUAGUUCUCCACUACCCUAAGAGAGGACACCCACCUUAUGCUGAAGGUUCUUCUUCACAGCUUCAGGCUGACUGAAAGUGCCCUGACCUCAGAGCUCAGGGCAAUCAAAAAGCCUUUAAUUACUUUGAUCGGAUCAUUUCUAUUCCUGUGUCUCCGGAUGUUCUCUUGAAGAAGCAGCUGCUCAAAAGACCCUUUGAAAUAAUCACAGCUAAAGUUAUCACUGCUUACUAUGUGUGUACUAACUCAUUUUUUCUGCAGGUAAGACACAACACAGUUAAGCAGCCAGAAAUGGGGUUGCUGGAAUCUGAACUCAGGCUGCCUGGCUCCAGAGCGCCUCCUCUUCCCUCCACUCCACAUUCCCUCUGACAAUCAGGAUGUCUCAGAUUAGAUAUCUCCAAUUAGAAGCAAAAGCAAAAAGUAGAAGUGAACCACAGCAAUGUGUCCCAGCCUACCCAAGUGGGUCCUCUUGCUUCCUCCCUCUUUAAUGACGAAUGGUUAGUUAACGGCUUCCCAGCCUAAAUCUACAUUUUAUUAAGUCUUUUAUACGAUCAUAUAGCUGAUGUUGUUUUUCUUUUAACUACAGCAUUAAUUAAUCCUAGGGCACAUUAUGAGAGAUAUUCCAAUUACUUGCUUAAGUUUGAGUAGGCAGCAAGUGGAGAAGCAAGAAAUUGAAAUUUGAAAUUAAAACUAUGGUUUGGA